UUACAAUAUGAUGAAUUGCUACUAUUACCAUCAUUCAAACUUGUUAUAUUUGAAAAUGAAUGUCAAGCCCUGACAUCAUCUUCGGAGAGAUACAUCAUGAUGGAAAUCAUGAUGGGAGUAUUGAUAAGUUCAAAUGAUUUUAACUUAUCAAUAUGUCUCUUGAAUUCUUAGGUUUUGAAUUCAAGAAUGACUUAUCUCAAGUAUGACAUAUAA
rnacentral:lncRNA from 1 species